GACGAACGCUGGCGGCGUGCUUAACACAUGCAAGUCGAACGAUGAAGCUGGAGCUUGCUCCGGUGGAUUAGUGGCGAACGGGUGAGUAACACGUGAGAAAUCUGCCCUUGACUCUGGGAUAACUGCGGGAAACUGUAGCUAAUACCGGAUAUUUUCCUUGGGGGGCAUCGACUGGGGAAGAAAGAAUUUCGGUCAAGGAUGAUCUCGCGGCCUAUCAGCUAGUUGGUGAGGUAAUGGCUCACCAAGGCGACGACGGGUAGCCGGCCUGAGAGGGUGACCGGCCACACUGGGACUGAGACACGGCCCAGACUCCUACGGGAGGCAGCAGUGGGGAAUAUUGCACAAUGGGCGCAAGCCUGAUGCAGCAACGCCGCGUGAGGGAUGAAGGCCUUCGGGUUGUAAACCUCUUUUAGCAGGGAAGAAGCGAAAGUGACGGUACCUGCAGAAAAAGCACCGGCUAACUACGUGCCAGCAGCCGCGGUAA
rnacentral:rRNA from 1 species